rnacentral:rRNA from 1 species
CCUACGGGUGGCAGCAGUCGAGAAUCAUUCACAAUGGGGGAAACCCUGAUGGUGCGACGCCGCGUGGGGGAAUGAAGUUCUUCGGAUUGUAAACCCCUGUCAUGUGGGAGCAAAUUAAAAAGAUCGUACCACACGAGGAAGAGACGGCUAACUCUGUGCCAGCAGCCGCGGUAAUACAGAGGUCUCAAGCGUUGUUCGGAAUCACUGGGCGUAAAGCGUGCGUAGGCUGUUUCGUAAGUCGUGUGUGAAAGGCGCGGGCUCAACCCGCGGACGGCACAUGAUACUGCGAGACUAGAGUAAUGGAGGGGGAACCGGAAUUCUCGGUGUAGCAGUGAAAUGCGUAGAUAUCGAGAGGAACACUCGUGGCGAAGGCGGGUUCCUGGACAUUAACUGACGCUGAGGCACGAAGGCCAGGGGAGCGAAAGGGAUUAGAUACCCGAGUAGUC